UGGGGAAUUUUGGACAAUGGGCGCAAGCCUGAUCCAGCAAUGCCGCGUGAGUGAAGAAGGCCUUCGGGUUGUAAAGCUCUUUUGUCAGGGAAGAAACGGUGGGAGCUAAUAUCUCCCGCUAAUGACGGUACCUGAAGAAUAAGCACCGGCUAACUACGUGCCAG
rnacentral:rRNA from 1 species